UACAGAGACUGCAAGCGUUAUUCGGAUUCACUGGGCGUAAAGGGUGCGCAGGUGGCCAAGUGUGUCAGGUGUGAAAUCCCGGGGCUUAACCCCGGAACUGCGCCUGAAACUGCAUGGCUAGAGCAUUGGAGAGGGAAGUGGAAUUCACGGUGUAGCAGUGAAAUGCGUAGAUAUCGUGAGGAACACCAGAGGCGAAGGCGACUUCCUGGACAAUUGCUGACACUCAGGCACGAAAGCGUGGGUAGCCAAAGGG
rnacentral:rRNA from 2 species